UCGAGAAUCUUUCGCAAUGGGCGAAAGCCUGACGAAGCGACGCCGUGUGUGUGAUGAAGGCCUUCGGGUUGUAAAGCACUUUCGCCUGGGAACAAGAAACUUUGGCUAAUAUCCAGAGGAUUUGAGAGUAUCAGGUAAAGAAGCACCGGCUAACUACGUGCCAGCAGCUGCGGUAAUACGUAGGGUGCAAGCAUUAAUCGGAUUUAUUGGGCGUAAAGGGCGCGUAGGCGGGAAUAUAAGUCAGAUGUGAAAUCCCGGAGCUCAACUCCGGAACAGCAUUUGAAACUGCAUUUCUAGAGGGUAGGCGGAGAAAACGGAAUUCCACAAGUAGCGGUGAAAUGCGUAGAUAUGUGGAAGAACACCAGUGGCGAAGGCGGUUUUCUAGCUUAUACCUGACGCUGAGGCGCGAAAGCAAGGGGAGCAAACAGGAUUAGAUACCCCUGUAGUCC
rnacentral:rRNA from 1 species